CUAUCGUUAACUGAAUACAUAGGUUAACGAGGCGAACCGGGGGAACUGAAACAUCUAAGUACCCCGAGGAAAAGAAAUCAACCGAGAUUCCCCCAGUAGCGGCGAGCGAACGGGGAGCAGCCCAGAGUCUGAAUCAGCUUGUGUGUUAGUGGAACGGUCUGGAAAGUCCGACGGUACAGGGUGAUAGUCCCGUACACCAAAAUGCACAGGUUGUGAACUCGAAGAGUAGGGCGGGACACGUGGUAUCCUGUCUGAAUAUGGGGGGACCAUCCUCCAAGGCUAAAUACUCCUGACUGACCGAUAGUGAACCAGUACCGUGAGGGAAAGGCGAAAAGAACCCCGGCGAGGGGAGUGAAAAAGAACCUGAAACCGUGUACGUACAAGCAGUGGGAGCACCUUCGGGUGUGACUGCGUACCUUUUGUAUAAUGGGUCAGCGACUUAUAUUCUGUAGCAAGGUUAACCGUAUAGGGGAGCCGCAGGGAAACCGAGUCUUAACUGGGCGUUAAGUUGCAGGGUAUAGACCCGAAACCCGGUGAUCUAGCCAUGGGCAGGUUGAAGGUUGGGUAACACUAACUGGAGGACCGAACCGACUAAUGUUGAAAAAUUAGCGGAUGACUUGUGGCUGGGGGUGAAAGGCCAAUCAAACCGGGAGAUAGCUGGUUCUCCCCGAAAGCUAUUUAGGUAGCGCCUCGUGAACUCAUCUUCGGGGGUAGAGCACUGUUUCGGCUAGGGGGUCAUCCCGACUUACCAACCCGAUGCAAACUACGAAUACCGAAGAAUGUUAUCACGGGAGACACACGGCGGGUGCUAACGUCCGUCGUGAAGAGGGAAACAACCCAGACCGCCAGCUAAGGUCCCAAAGUCAUGGUUAAGUGGGAAACGAUGUGGGAAGGCACAGACAGCCAGGAUGUUGGCUUAGAAGCAGCCAUCAUUUAAAGAAAGCGUAAUAGCUCACUGGUCGAGUCGGCCUGCGCGGAAGAUGUAACGGGGCUAAACCAUGCACCGAAGCUGCGGCAGCGACACUAUGUGUUGUUGGGUAGGGGAGCGUUCUGUAAGCCUGCGAAGGUGUGCUGUGAGGCAUGCUGGAGGUAUCAGAAGUGCGAAUGCUGACAUAAGUAACGAUAAAGCGGGUGAAAAGCCCGCUCGCCGGAAGACCAAGGGUUCCUGUCCAACGUUAAUCGGGGCAGGGUGAGUCGACCCCUAAGGCGAGGCCGAAAGGCGUAGUCGAUGGGAAACAGGUUAAUAUUCCUGUACUUGGUGUUACUGCGAAGGGGGGACGGAGAAGGCUAUGUUAGCCGGGCGACGGUUGUCCCGGUUUAAGCAUGUAGGCUGAUUGUCCAGGCAAAUCCGGAUAAUCAAGGCUGAGGUGUGAUGACGAGGCACUACGGUGCUGAAGUAACAAAUGCCCUGCUUCCAGGAAAAGCCUCUAAGCAUCAGGUAACAUUAAAUCGUACCCCAAACCGACACAGGUGGUCAGGUAGAGAAUACCAAGGCGCUUGAGAGAACUCGGGUGAAGGAACUAGGCAAAAUGGUGCCGUAACUUCGGGAGAAGGCACGCUGGUGUGUAGGUGAAGUCCCUGCGGAUGGAGCUGAGACCAGUCGAAGAUACCAGCUGGCUGCAACUGUUUAUUAAAAACACAGCACUGUGCAAACACGAAAGUGGACGUAUACGGUGUGACGCCUGCCCGGUGCCGGAAGGUUAAUUGAUGGGGUUAUCCGUAAGGAGAAGCUCUUGAUCGAAGCCCCGGUAAACGGCGGCCGUAACUAUAACGGUCCUAAGGUAGCGAAAUUCCUUGUCGGGUAAGUUCCGACCUGCACGAAUGGCGUAAUGAUGGCCAGGCUGUCUCCACCCGAGACUCAGUGAAAUUGAACUCGCUGUGAAGAUGCAGUGUACCCGCGGCAAGACGGAAAGACCCCGUGAACCUUUACUAUAGCUUGACACUGAACAUUGAGCCUUGAUGUGUAGGAUAGGUGGGAGGCUUUGAAGCGUGGACGCCAGUCUGCGUGGAGCCAACCUUGAAAUACCACCCUUUAAUGUUUGAUGUUCUAACGUUGGCCCCUGACCGGGGUUGCGGACAGUGUCUGGUGGGUAGUUUGACUGGGGCGGUCUCCUCCCAAAGCGUAACGGAGGAGCACGAAGGUUAGCUAAUCCUGGUCGGACAUCAGGAGGUUAGUGCAAUGGCAUAAGCUAGCUUGACUGCGAGCGUGACGGCGCGAGCAGGUGCGAAAGCAGGUCAUAGUGAUCCGGUGGUUCUGAAUGGAAGGGCCAUCGCUCAACGGAUAAAAGGUACUCCGGGGAUAACAGGCUGAUACCGCCCAAGAGUUCAUAUCGACGGCGGUGUUUGGCACCUCGAUGUCGGCUCAUCACAUCCUGGGGCUGAAGUAGGUCCCAAGGGUAUGGCUGUUCGCCAUUUAAAGUGGUACGCGAGCUGGGUUUAGAACGUCGUGAGACAGUUCGGUCCCUAUCUGCCGUGGGCGCUGGAGAAUUGAGGGGGGCUGCUCCUAGUACGAGAGGACCGGAGUGGACGCAUCACUGGUGUUCGGGUUGUCAUGCCAAUGGCACUGCCCGGUAGCUAAAUGCGGAAGAGAUAAGUGCUGAAAGCAUCUAAGCACGAAACUUGCCCCGAGAUGAGUUCUCCCUGAGACUUUAAGUCUCCUGAAGGAACGUUGAAGACGACGACGUUGAUAGGCCGGGUGUGUAAGCGCAGCGAUGCGUUGAGCUAACCGGUACUAAUGAACCGUGAGGCUUAACCUU
rnacentral:rRNA from 1 species